rnacentral:rRNA from 1 species
CGGUCCUAAGGUAGCGAAAUUCCUUGUCGGGUAAGUUCCGACCUGCACGAAUGGCAUAAUGAUGGCCAGGCUGUCUCCACCCGAGACUCAGUGAAAUUGAAAUCGCCGUGAAGAUGCGGUGUACCCGCGGCUAGACGGAAAGACCCCGUGAACCUUUACUAUAGCUUGACACUGAACAUUGAAUUUUGAUGUGUAGGAUAGGUGGGAGACUUUGAAGUAGUCACGCCAGUGAUUAUGGAGUCGUCCUUGAAAUACCACCCUUUAACGUUUGAUGUUCUAACGAAGAUUACGAAACGUGGUCUCGGACAGUGUCUGGUGGGUAGUUUGACUGGGGCGGUCUCCUCCCAAAGAGUAACGGAGGAGCACGAAGGUUUGCUAAUCACGGUCGGACAUCGUGAGGUUAGUGCAAUGGUAUAAGCAAGCUUAACUGCGAGACAGACAAGUCGAGCAGGUACGAAAGUAGGUCAUAGUGAUCCGGUGGUUCUGCAUGGAAGGGCCAUCGCUCAACGGAUAAAAGGUACUCCGGGGAUAACAGGCUGAUACCGCCCAAGAGUUCAUAUCGACGGCGGUGUUUGGCACCUCGAUGUCGGCUCAUCACAUCCUGGGGCUGAAGUAGGUCCCAAGGGUAUGGCUGUUCGCCAUUUAAAGUGGUACGCGAGCUGGGUUUAGAACGUCGUGAGACAGUUCGGUCCCUAUCUGCCGUGGGCGUUGGAGAAUUGAUUGGGGCUGCUCCUAGUACGAGAGGACCGGAGUGGACGCAUCACUGGUGUUCCGGUUGUGUCGCCAGACGCAUUGCCGGGUAGCUAAGUGCGGAAGAGAUAAGUGCUGAAAGCAUCUAAGCACGAAACUUGCCAAGAGAUGAGUUCUCCCUGUCUUUAAGACAGUAAGGGUUGUUUAAGACUAAGACGUAGAUAGGUCUGGUGUGUAAGCGGUGCGAGCCGUUGAGCUAACAGAUACUAAUUGCCCGAGAGGCUUAACUAU